rnacentral:rRNA from 1 species
AUUGAACGCUGGCGGCAUGCUUUACACAUGCAAGUCGAGCGGCAGCGCGGGGCAACCUGGCGGCGAGUGGCGAACGGGUGAGGAACACAUCGGAACGUACCCGAGAGUGGGGGAUAACGCCGCGAGAGCGGCGCUAAUACCGCAUAUUCUCUGAGGAGGAAAGUGGGGGACCGCAAGGCCUCACGCUCACGGAGCGGCCGAUGUCCGAUUAGCUAGUUGGUGGGGUAAAGGCUUACCAAGGCGACGAUCGGUAGCUGGUCUGAGAGGAUGAUCAGCCACACUGGGACUGAGACACGGCCCAGACUCCUACGGGAGGCAGCAGUGGGGAAUUUUGGACAAUGGGGGCAACCCUGAUCCAGCCAUGCCGCGUGCGGGAAGAAGGCCUUCGGGUUGUAAACCGCUUUUAGCCGGGAAGAAAAGGCACGGGACAAUACCCCGUGUUCUUGACGGUACCGGCGGAAUAAGCACCGGCUAACUACGUGCCAGCCGCCGCGGUAAGAC